GCCGCCAUCGAUCUAUCUCUAUCACAGGCGAUAGACCUCGGAGUUAAUCAGCUGAGCAACUCACUAAUUGUCUUGUUCUCUCGUGAAUUAAUUCUUCAGGUGAUAGGCAUGCAUGGAAUUAAGCCAAGUUACUGAUGACUAGUCCAAUCGAUCCAAGUCACACUCCGUGCAGUAUUUGUAUCUUGGUAGCUAGCUAGUCUAGCAGCUGACUUCAAAUCCUCCUCGAUCUGGAGCACGACCUGAAAUUAAUCAAGACAAAUCAAUCAGGAAUCCGAGAGGCAUGUAAAUACGGAUCGAUGGAUCUGUGUGCCAUAGGACAGACAAAAAGACCUGCAGCUCUGAUCAGAUCCUAUCUAACAAAGAUACAGAUCAAAGGGGAAAGAAACGAAAAGAGAGAAAAAAUAAGAGAGAAAAUAACAAUUAUCAAAAACAAACUUGUAUAUGCAGUCGUUCGUUGCACAUACUCACAAGCAAAGCCGAGGCAUGGUGGCAGCUAUUACGAUCUGAAUAAACGCCAAGCAAAUUAACUAUAGCUUGGAAUAGGGCAUGGAGAACGAGCUGAGCUGGUAGAAGAAGAAUCAACAGCUAGCACACAGCAGAUGAAACCAAAAGAAAUCAUAUGCAAGCCAUCUGAGACGCAGAGAACCGAACAAAACAAGUCAAAUAGAGGUAGCCAGCAACUCUUGUUGAAAAAAAGGAAGAGGAGAGUACUCUAGUUUGAGGCGAUGGAGAUUGAAACAUAGUAUAGAUAUUGGGGCGAUGGAUGAGCUAGCAAACACGAACCGGGGUUAUAAUAAAUUCGAAAAGCCAAAAAAGAGACUGCAGCUAUCUAGCAAGCUGGUAGUAGCUUAGUCGUCUCCUCGUCUUCUUGCUGCUGGGAUCGAUGCUAUCUGCAGUAGUACGUAGUACGCUCCAAUUCUCUCCAAGUUUUGUUUGGAGCUAGCUACACAUGGUGAUGACGACGACGAUGAUGUAAGCUAGCCAGCUCUAUUUCUAUGGCUGCGCUGCCGCCGGUGUUAUGCGGCGAGGAGGAGAGGAGGAGGAGGAGGAGGAAGAAGACGAGAAGGUAGAAGAGGAGUCUCGCUGCAGGUGGGUGAGUUGCAUGAGUGGAUGGUUGGUUCUGAUCGAGCUGAGCUUUAGCUAGCUAGGUCUCU
rnacentral:lncRNA from 1 species